rnacentral:ncRNA from 1 species
CGAUAGAGGUUGCGGUAUUCAAGAGUAACAAUUAUGAAAUUCCGGGAAGGAAGUGAUUGCGAAAGGGGAGACCGCCGAAGAGUAAAUAUUUCCCGAUAUUUAUUCUGGGACGUGGUAAUAAGAUGCUGCGUACUGUCACAACUUAUGUGGAGCGCUAUCA